rnacentral:rRNA from 1 species
CGAAGGGGGCUAGCGUUGUUCGGAAUUACUGGGGCGUAAAAGGGCGCGUAGGCGGCUUUUCAAGUCAGGCGUGAAAUCCCCGGGCUUAACCUGGGAACUGCGCUUGAGACUGGAAGGCUUGAGUUCGGGAGAGGUGAGUGGAAUUCCCAGUGUAGAGGUGAAAUUCGUAGAUAUUGGGAAGAACACCAGCGGCGAAGGCGGCUCACUGGACCGAUACUGACGCUGAGGCGCGAAAGCGUGGGGGAGCAAACAGGAUU